rnacentral:lncRNA from 1 species
GGUAGGUUCCUUAUAUUCUAUAGGAGCACAACACUAUAGGAUGAAUAUAAUCAAAAGAACACAUUGUAUAUCAAAAAAAGGAAAGGCUUUUUGAAUGUACUAAUAAAGGAUAAAACUUAAGAUAAUGGAUAUAAUAAUUACUGAUUUUUGAUCAUUACCCAAUGUAAACAUGAGUCACAUCAUGUUAAACUUCAUUUUUAUGAAAAUGCAAAUUCUCAGCUCCACUCCCCCAAAAGAUUUAGGAGCCUGAGAGAUAGUUAAGUGGCUAAAGCACUUGAUUUCUCUUUCAGAAGACCUGGAUCUUGUUCCUGCCACUUACAUGGCUGCUCAUAGCUGUGUGUAACUCCAGUUCCAGGGGUAGCCUUACACUCUAAUCUGGCCUCCAGGGAACUACUACACACAUGUGCACAUACAUAAAUAUAGGCAACACACACACAUGAAAUAAAAAUACAUUUUUAAUAAGAAUUUAAAUUACAGGAACUUAAACUAGAUUGAUAAGAAUGAAGUAUAGACGGUGUCUGAUAACUUGUCAGACAGACUACAGACCACAAUACUGAAAUAUUCACUAGGUACAAAUGGCUAUCUCAUAAAAUUAAGACUGAAGUGAAGGAUUACAGAACAGACCUUAGAGCCAAAAUGGUUAUAUGUCCCAACAAAGUUUUUCAGUUGAUUUUGAGUCCUAUGUAGUUGUGCCCUGUGUAGCUUAUUAUCUUUAUAUAAAACCUAAUUCAGGGGGCUGGUGAGAUGACUCAGCGGUUAAGAGCACUGACUGCUCUUCCUGAGUUCAAAUCCCAGCAACCACAUGGUGGCUCACAACCAUCUAUAAUGAGAUCUGACGCCCUCUUCUGGGGUGUCUGAAGCCAACUACAGUGUACUUACAUAUAAUAAAUAAACAAGUUUGUUUAAAACCUAAUUCUAAACUUAGUCCUUGUUUCUCAAGUUGUACUUUUUGCAUUUUGAAUGUUUCAGGAUAUUUUGACUUUCCUCAAAAGCAAUUCCUUACUCUGUUUACUGUACUUGGUUUUUAUUGACCAUUUGUUCUUUAUCUGUUUUUAUUAAGGAUCUAAAUCUAAAAUAUUAUUGAAGAGGUAUUAUGAACAAGAAUUUUGUGCUACUUUUAAAACUCUGAUCCUGUCUUUUUUGUGUAUGAAAGAAAAUAAAACAGUAAUUAGUUGCUCAUUUGUUAUGUAUAUAAUUUAUGAGCAUCUUUGUGAAACCAUUAUCUUUUAUAAAUAGUAAAGUAGAAAUUUACACCUUACUCUUCCAUGGGUCAUUUUAUAGCUUCAGAAAAGAAUCACAUACCAAGAAUCACAUGGAGUGGCUUCUCCUGAAAGCCAGAUCUAACAUUUAGGGUAUACCAUCAAUAGUGACCAUUAUUAAUUGGAAGACUGAAUUAAAGAAUUUUUAAAUUCUAAUUUUCCUGAGACUUUUGUCAUUCCCCCCACCCCCUUAGGAGGGUUUUAAAUAAGGUUAGUACUUUGUUAAUAUAAUAACCAUUAUUAUACAUACUUCAUACAUAUACUUUAAGUAAUUUCUUUCUUCUGGUCUCCCUCUUAACACUUUAAUCCAGGGCCAUUUGCUUGCUGGGCCAGUGCUCUACCACUGAAUUGCAGCCACAGCUCCUGAGUGAUUUUCCAUAGUGUAGUAUAGUAGCUUAUUCCACACAAUGCCUCAUUUCCUUAAAAUUAAAAGUAGCAUUAUUUCUAUUAGUCUUAUAAAAAGUCUUUAGAAAUAGCUUGAUUUUUUUUUUUUUUAAUUUUGAAUUCAUAGAUGUUACAUGUACCUCAUGAAAAAUCCAGAAAUAAGGCUGGGCCUUUUAUCCAAAGACUCAGGCAAAAGUCUGAGUUCAAGGGCAGAUUUAGCAAAUCAGCUCUGUCUCUAAGAAAGAAAAUACAGAAACAUAAGUAACAAAGCCUUUUCUUACCUCUCUUUUAUUUAAUUUAUUUAUUUAUUUAUUUAUUUAUUUAUUAUUUUUAUUUUGGUUGUGGUUCUAUUCUACCCAAGGG